rnacentral:rRNA from 1 species
GUGUCAGCCGCCGCGGUAAUACGUAGGGGGCAAGCGUUGUCCGGAAUUAUUGGGCGUAAAGCGCGCGCAGGCGGCUAUGUAAGUCUGGUGUUAAAGCCCGGGGCUCAACCCCGGUACGCAUCGGAAACUGCGUAGCUUGAGUGCAGAAGAGGAAAGCGGUAUUCCACGUGUAGCGGUGAAAUUCGUAGAUAUGUGGAGGAACACCAGUGGCGAAGGCGGCUUUCUGGCCUGUAACUGACGCUGAGGCGCGAAAGCGUGGGGAGCAAACAGGAUUAGAAACCCGAGUAGUCC